rnacentral:lncRNA from 1 species
CCCACAUUGAUUACAGCUAUGAGAUUUCUCUCCUGUGUGUGUUCUCUGAUGUGAUACCAGGCUGUUUGACUGAGUAAAACUCUUCCCACAUUCACCACAGCUAUAAGAUUUCUCUCCUGUGUGUGUUCUCUGAUGUGAUACCAGGUUGGUUGACUGAGUAAAAGUCUUCCCACAUUGAUUACAGCUAUAAGAUUUCUCUCCUGUGUGUAUUCUCUGGUGAGCUGUCAGCUCUCCAGAUCGAGCAAAACUCUUCCCACAUUGAUCACAGCUAUAAGAUUUCUCUCCUGUGUGUGUUCUCUGGUGUUGAGUCAGAUGGCAAGAUUGACCAAAACUCUUCCCACAUUGACCACAGAUAUAAGAUUUCUCUCCUGUGUGUGUUCUCUGAUGUAGAGUCAGACUGGUAGAUGCAGCAAACCUCUUCCCACAUUGACCACAGCUAUAAGGUUUCUCUCCUGUGUGUGUUCUCUGAUGAAUUUUAAUGCCUGAUGAGGUGAAUCUCUUCCCACAGUCAGAGCAGCAGUGAGU